rnacentral:lncRNA from 1 species
GCAAAUUCAGCUAUUGUUGGAAGCCAGCCAAUAUGAAACAAACUAUUAAAAUUACAAAAGGUUGCAGCAUAUGUUGUGUAAAUGGUGAACUCAUACAGCUGUCAACUCUUGUCAUUUUAAUCCGUUUCACAUUUGCUAGCUACCUUUUAGAUCGAAGCCCAAAUAGAAUGAUAAAAGAUAAAAUGAUAGAAGCCCAUCUCCUACUGUAAAUAACCUACACACUGUGUGUGUGUGUAGCCAGCCAGCCAGGUAGAGAAAUGGCAGAAAAAUAAAAGACGGACAUCAGAGUAUUUUUCAGUACACCAAAACGCAAAGUAAGAACCCUAGUAGCCUAAUAUCUCAAAGACUAGUUGAUAAAAUGUUCAUAGGAAAGAAAUGAAAUUCAAAUGGAAAUGUUUCACAAUGAUGUCAUUAGGCAGAGCAGGCAACAGAUGGCACACAGACAGCAGAGUUGGGGACAGACUGGCAGAGACAGGGAGUCUCAGAUCCUCCCAAGCUCUGUCAAGUUGGAUGGGGAGCGUCGCUGCACAGCUAUUUUCCGGUCUCUCCAGAGAUGUUCAAACGGGUUCAAGUCCGGGCCUCUAUGUAGUCCACUCGAGGACAUUCAGAGACUUGUCGCGAAGCCAGUCCUGCGUUGUCUUGACUGUGUGCUUAGGGUCGUUGUCCUGUUGGAAGGUGAACCUUUGCCCUAGUCUGAGGUCCUGAGAGCUUUGGAGCAGGUUUUCAUCAAGGAUCUCUCUGUACUUUGCUUCGUUCAUCUCUCCCUUGAUCCUGACAAGUCUCGCAGUACCUGCCACUGAAAGAUAUCCCUACAGCAUGAUGCUGCAACCACCAUGCUCCACCAUAGGGAUAGUGCCAUGUUUCCUCCAAAUGUGACGCUUGGUAUUCACGCAAAAGAGUUCAAUCUUGGUUUCAUCAGACCAGAGAAUCUUGUUUCUCAUGGUCUGAGAGUCCUUUAGGUGCCUUUUGUCAAACUCCAAGCAGGCUGUCAUGUGCCUUUUACUGAGGAGAGGGUUCCGUCUGGCCACUCUACCAUAAAUGCAUGAUUGGUGGAGUGCUGCAGAAAUGGGUGUCCUUCUGGAAGGUUGUCCCAUCUCCACAGAGGAACUCUAGAGCUCUGUCAGAGUGACCAUCGGGUUCUUGGUCACCUCCCUGACCAAAGCCCUUCUCCCUCGAUGGCCCAGUUUGGCCAGGCAGUCACCUCUAGGACGAGUCUUGGUGGUUUCCAACUUCUUCCAUUUAAGAAUGAUGGAUGCCACUUUCUUGGGGACCUUCAAUGCUGCAGAAAUGUUUUGGUGUCCUUCCCCAGAUCUGUAUAUGAAAUAUGAAGAGUGGUACCCAAUGAUGUGUUGUGUUGGAUUUGCAACAAACAUAAUACUUUGUGUUCAGGAGAAAAGGUAAAUUUCUUUGCCACAUUUUUUGCAGUAUUACUUUAGUGCCUUAUUGCAAACAGGAUGUUUUGGAAUAUUUGUAUUCUGUACAGGCUUCCUUCUUUUCACUCUGUAAUAUAUGUUAGUAUUGUGGAGUAACUACAAUUGUUGUUGAUCCAUCCGCAGUUAUCUCCAGUGUUGGGGAGUAACGGGUUACAUGUAAUCCGUUACAUGUAAGGGAUUACAAAAAACGGUAACUGUAAUUCGUUACAUUACUAGCAGAAAUAUUGUAAACAGAUUACAGAUACUUUUAAAAACUAGAUGAUUACUUUGAGGAUUACUUUUAAAUUCAGAAAGAAUGUUUGCAAAAAAAAAUCUUUGACACUUCUGUUUUCUCAAUGAUAUUCAAAUCUGCAUUGAAAAAAGGCCCAAGUUUAAGUUUGUUCCACCUGAGCGAGUUUGACCACAAGUCAGAGACCCCUAUGAUGACACAACAAAUGUGUUUGAUGGAUCGAGGGGAAAGAGGAAGGAACAGACUUUUGUAGGCUAUAGUCCAAGCUACAGUAUGUCUUCCAAUGGUGCGACUGCUGUCAGACUGCUGUCGGCAUUCAAAGAUUAUCCAAUUUGAAUCAACGUUUGGAGGUAAUGAUGACAGCAGUGGUGUGGUCUACUGCGAUACGGAUAUCACUUAUUAUUGA